UACAAUAUUUUAUAAAUAUUCAGGAUACUUAUCUACAUUUAGGAUUUUUUUAAACUAAUAGUGAUAAACAUUUGUUUACAUAUUAGAUAUUAAUAUAUCUAUAUUAUUUAUUUGUUUCAGGUGAGUUUGGAUGAACAGUGUGGUUAUUCUUGUCCAUAUCAUCAAAAAUAAUAUCUCCCCCAGCACCUGCCGGACGGGGAUAUAAGAGCACAGCAAAGCACAAAUCCGAC